AUUGAGCGCUGGCGGAAUGCUUUACACAUGCAAGUCGAACGGCAGCACGGACUUCGGUCUGGUGGCGAGUGGCGAACGGGUGAGUAAUGUAUCGGAACGUGCCCAGUUGUGGGGGAUAACGUAGGGAAAAUUACGCUAAUACUGCAUACGAUCUAGGGAUGAAAGCGGGGGAUCGCAAGACCUCGCGCGAUUGGAGCGGCCGAUAUCAGAUUAGGUAGUUGGGGGGGUAAAGGCCCAGAAAGCCAAGGAUCUGUAGCUGGUCUGAGAGGACGGCCAGCCACACUGGAACUGAGACACGGUCCAGCGUCCUACGGGAGGCAGCAGUGGGGAAUUUUGGACAAUGGGCGAAAGCGUGAUCCAGCCAUUCCGGGUGCAGGAUGAAGGCCCUCGGGUUGUAAACUGCUUUUGUACAGAACGAAAAGGUUUCUACUAAUACUAGGAGCUCAUGACGGUACUGUAAGAAUAAGCACCGGCUAACUACGUGCCAGCCGCCGCCGUAA
rnacentral:rRNA from 1 species